rnacentral:rRNA from 1 species
CUACGGGGGGCUGCAGUGGGGAAUAUUGCACAAUGGGCGCAAGCCUGAUGCAGCCAUGCCGCGUGUAUGAAGAAGGCCUUCGGGUUGUAAAGUACCUUCAGCGGGGAGGAAGGGAGUAAAGUUAAUACCUUUGCUCAUUGACGUUACCCGCAGAAGAAGCACCGGCUAACUCCGUGGCCAGCAGCCGCGGUAAUACGGAGGGUGCAAGCGUUAAUUGGAAUUACUGGGCGUAAAGCGCACGCAGGCGGUUUGUUAAGUCAGAUGUGAAAUCCCCGGGCUCAACCUGGGAACUGCAUCUGAUACUGGCAAGCUUGAGUCUCGUAGAGGGGGGUAGAAUUCCAGGUGUAGCGGUGAAAUGCGUAGAGAUCUGGAGGAAUACCGGUGGCGAAGGCGGCCCCCUGGACGAAGACUGACGCUCAGGUGCGAAAGCGUGGGGAGCAAACAGGAUUAGAUACCCCGGUAGUC